rnacentral:rRNA from 1 species
UACGUAGGGGGCAAGCGUUGUCCGGAUUUAUUGGGCGUAAAGAGCGUGUAGGCGGCUAGGUAGGUCCGUUGUGAAAACUCGAGGCUCAACCUCGAGACGCCGAUGGAAACCAUCUAGCUAGAGUCCGGAAGAGGAGAGUGGAAUUCCUGGUGUAGCGGUGAAAUGCGCAGAUAUCGGGAGGAACACCAGUGGCGAAGGCGGCGACCUGGGCCAAUACUGACGCUGAGGUGCGAAAGCGUGGGGAGCAAACAGG